CAACAAGAGAGGAUUAGCUUCAUUUUUACCAUGAUGAUGAUGAUGAUGGGUUUCUUUCUUCGUAUUAGCAGCAGCAGCAGCAGUCAACAGAGCAGCACAGGCGGCUAGAGUUUAAUCCCCACACGGCAUCAGAUGGCCGGCGCGGGCUCGUCGGACGCGGAGGCGGAGCUGCGGCGGGGCUUCAAGGCCCUGGCAGUGACGCGGCCGGACCCGGCGGGCGCGGUCUACGAGGUGCGCCUCAGCCGCCCGGCGCAGCUCAACGCGCUCAGCCCGGACUCCUUCGCGGAGAUCCCGCGCGCCAUGGCGCUGCUCGACCGCAUCCCCGCCGCGCGCGCCGUCGUGCUGUCCGCCGCGGGCCCCCACUUCUGCGCGGGCAUCGAGCUCGGCGGGCCCGGGAACCCGCUCACUGCGCCCCCCGCCCGCGGCGCCGACCCCACGGCCAUGGCCGAGGGGCUCCGCCGCGCGAUCCUGGGCAUGCAGGCCGCGCUCACCGCCGUCGAGCUGUGCCGGAAGCCCGUCAUCGCGGCCGUGCACGGCGCCUGCGUCGGCGGCGGCGUCGAACUGGUGGCCGCCUGCGACAUACGCUACUGCUCCAGGGACGCCACCUUCGUGCUCAAGGAGGUGGACAUGGCCAUCGUCGCCGACCUCGGCGCGCUGCAGCGCCUGCCGCGGAUCGUCGGCUACGGGAACGCCGCUGACCUCGCCCUCACCGGCCGCAGGAUCACCGCCGCGGAGGCCAAGGAGAUGGGGCUCGUCAGCAGGGUGUUCGAUUCAAAGCAGGAGCUGGAUGCCGGUGUUGCGAAGAUAGCCAAGGAAAUAUCAGAGAAGUCAGCAAAUGCAGUAUUGGGAACGAAGGCCGUUCUGCUGAGAAGCAGAGAUAUAACAGUAGAGCAGGGCCUGGAGCAUGUCGCGACUUGGAACUCAGGAAUGCUGAGAUCUAAUGACCUGUUGGAGGCCAUCAAAGCUUUCAUGGAGAAGCGGAAGCCUGUUUUCUCUAAGCUCUGAUGAUCUUCAUCACAGGCGAAAAUUUAUAUGUGAAUCCUAGCAACCUAAGAAUAAAAUGAGACGGUAGAAAGUAGACAAGAAAUACAAUUUCUGCAAUUUGGAAAACAAGGGCUCUUUUUGGUUGUAUCUUGUAUAUUUAUAUCAUAUAUAAAGCGAGGAUUUUCUGAAAUUUCCUUAGCAUUACUGAUGUCCAUAUUGAUUUGUUGUUAUGCUGGGAUGCCUGUAGAUUGACCAUUCCCACUUACAAGUGUGACGCGCUUUUGCAGAGAAUUGACGGCCUUCACAAUAGGCGUGUGAUUGACAUGAUCUGAGGGACCGAGGAAAGUUCGCUGAGCUUAUAUUUGGGUUGGGUGACCCUGGUCCAGUGAGCCUGCGAUGGCCCCAUAGCUUGUCUAGGUAUAAGUUGAAUUUCAGUCCUGAAAAGGUGAGUCUGGUACUCUAAUGUGUUCGCACUACCACCACCCCAUUUUGCUACCAUGUUAAUUUGUUAUUUAUUUAUAGCUCUGAUGUGUUUUAAGUUUGCCAAAUUUAGCUUACAACAUUUGUUUCAUUUCAGUGCUCACACUUUGUUGGCCAUUACUCUUUUGUGUUGAUAUCCGUUGAAAUUGCAUUUGUAAUAUAUUUGAGCAGGUAUUUGUGGGUUGGUUAGUAAUAGGACUUUAAAAAAAUAUAUUCAAAGAUAACCCUUGAAUAAGUGAGAGAAUG
rnacentral:rRNA from 1 species